rnacentral:lncRNA from 1 species
AUCUAGCACCCAAUAGUACUGUUAAGAUGUUAGAAAGAAUAAUUUUGCCUCCACCUAACCUCUCCGAUUCCAACAUUUUCUCUUUCUCUCUAAAGCCAAUCAUCAUCCUCAUUCCUCCUCUUGAUCUAACUUGGUCCCAAGCCCGACCAACUCUCCUUCUCAUCCCUCCUCUCCAUCAACCUCUGUCUAAUCAUCUCCUUCCCCUCCCUC